AUGGCCAUCAGCACCAAAAUUAAGUGUCACAUUCUCUCCCUGGCCAACAGUGAGAGAUGAAUAAAAAGCAUAAACACUGGUGUCCGGGGUAUCUACAGGGUACUGAACAAGGUUUCCAUCAUUUUGCAUUUUGAGACGGAAAAUCCCCGUUGAGUGAUCAGCUUCUGAAUUCGCAGAGAAAAGUUCGUUUCCUGAUAAAAGGCGUUGACCAGGCAAAAGGGUGUCGGUUGGAUGAUGAAAGCUCUGCCAUACUAUUUCCCGACCAGAGUUGUACAGCACGAAAUUACCGGAAUCGAGCAUGGAAGCAUAAGAAGAAGAGCCAGAAGAUUUUACCAAGUAAUUUUGGCCUUCUGCUGUUGGCAAGGCAAGGCCGUCACCUGUGAAGAGCAAGGUGGCAUUGUUGGAGACUGGUGGAUCAUCUCGAUUCGCAGUCCACACGACUGUCUUUUGGGGAAUUCCAGCAAGAAAUAUCCCAACAGCAUAGCCAUUGCCUUGCCUGUAAAAUCCAAAGGCAUAUAGACCAGAACGUGACAGCCAUGUGGUGUUGGUGGUUGGUGUUAAAGAAGAGCCUCGGCUUAUAUUUGACUGCAUCUGUUGUGCUUCAGCAGCAACAAAUGCCAAGGCAAGAAGAAGGCAUGCCAUGCAAGCCAUCGAAAAAUGAUCUCACUGUGACUUUUCUUCCUCUUUGUUCUUUUUUUUUUUCCUUCUGCAGCACUCCAGAAAAUUGGUUCCAAUGCAGUAUGAAGUUCUAAUUCUGAAUUUCUGUUUAAUUUAAGGUGGAUGGUGUAAAUUAAUUCGUACGUGUUUCUUCUCUCUCUGUGGUGUAAAUGAAUUCGUACCAUAAGAAGAUUCAAAGGAGAGAUACAAUAAGUCCCAGUCCAUGUAAUCUCUCUCUGUGUUUCUUCUCUCUCUGUCGAAAGUGAUGUAAUACCUAGACAGAGACUGAGAUUUCAUUGUUAACAUGAAUUUUCAGAACUUUAUCGUCAGCAAAUUGAUUUCAUAUUAUGAUCUGAAUAAUUAAUUUUAUAAUUAAGUCAGCAAAUUGACAUCACUUACGUGUCCAAAAGAUGCACCAAAUUUUCCAUUAAAUUUUUUGUUCAAAUUGUUUAUUAACUUUAUCGUCAGAUUGUUUAACUUUCUCCUAAAUUUGUCCCAGAAUUUGUGAACUUGACUUUGUAGACUUUUCCAAUCAGAUGUAAGGAAAACUAGUCAAGUCGUUUUCUUCAGGUGCAUUUUUCUUCUUUGAUUUUAGGAUUUUUUACAGUUUUGCACCUUGAACUAUUUGUAUAUUGUUAAUUUAACUCCUUAACAAAUCUUUCGAUAAAUUAAGGACUCCAAUUGUUUUAAAUCGCCAAUUUUUUCAAAUUCCAUCCAAAAUUUCAUCAAAAUUAAGGGUAAAUUUGUCAUUUUAAAAAAUUUUAAAAUUUUUUUUAAAAAACCUUACCUACCUAAAAUUAAACAUUUAAAUUUUUCAAAAAAUAAAUAAAAUCAAUCAACCUCGACCUCCCCCUUCCCUCCCCCAUCCUUCCCCUUCCGUCUUCCCUCUCUUCCUCCCCUUCCCCUCCUUCCUCUUCCAUCUCCCCCACCCUUCAUAGAUUACGUCCAGAUCUAAACGAUCCAACCUGGCUCUGAUACCAUGUUAGAGUUUUGUGAAGAAUAGUGAGGAGAGCAGAGAGAAUACAGAGAGAAUCAAAUCGUGUUUGUAUUUUCUAUUUCAUGCUCUCUUACCAAAUGAGCAAGCUCAGUGUGAGCUAUGUAACCGUAAGAGAGAAUAGCUGAAUUCUCUUACAUCACUGAGAAUCACAGCCUUACAUCCAAAACUGCUCUCUAGGACCAUUACACGUGGCUAUCACAACUUUACAUUACUAAUGCCUAACACUUAUUAAUUUCAGUGACUAAGUGAAUAAACCAUUUAGCUUAAUAGGCCUAAUUACAUUUCUAUCACCUCACCACUUACAUUUCAACAUACCAGACCCAGCUGCCCAAAUCUCUCCACUCCACUCCCCGAAUUCGGUGGCUUCUAUCCUAUUCAUGGAGAACCCAAAAACUGACGAGGUCUCAAGAUUAGGCUAAACCCAAUUGAAAACGAGCCUUAUGCUUUGGAUGAUGGGUCUAUGGAGGCUGCUGGGUUUGAAAAUCAAGAAAAGCCAGCAUCUUUCGCAAGCCAGCAUAAAGAAAAUCCAUUUUUCCUCCAUUGUUAACCUUUGUGUUGGGAUUAGGCAAGCCAAGAAAGGAUUAGAUCCGGAAUCUCCAUUGCUUUAGGAUUCGAGAGCAACCAUAAAGCAGCCACGACCUCUUCCUUUCUUAGCUUCUCUUCGACACAACUUAGCCCUAGCCCUCGACGUCGUCGCAUAACACCACUUCUAAUUUGGAUUAAUCUUAAUUUUCAGCAAAAUUACGAAUUUGGCCUUAAUCUAACAGAAAAGUGGACGGUGUUCUUAAGAAUCUGACUGUAGGCCCUCAAUCGGUGAUUUUAAAAUAGUUGGAGUUCUUAAUUUACCGAAAAGCUUAUUAAGAAACUAAAUUGACAAUAUGAAAAUAGUUAAGGGGCAAAACUGCAGAAAACCCUAGAUUUUAUGAAGAUGAUGCAGACGGACGAGGCACUUUGGAAUUGUUCUCUAAUACCCUACCACGUAAUUUUCACGGAAGAAGAUCAGCUAAGGCAUCAUCACAAAAGAAACUUUACAAUCUCAUUCAAGAUGGCUAUUGAUUAGUUUAGCCUGUAGAAGUCCUUCCUUCGUACCGAUGGCUUCUAGUUCCAAAACCAUCGCAUAGGUUAUACUAAUGGAACCUGCUACUCAAACGUUCCUUGAGUCCACUCUUGUUACCCCAAAAUAAAUAUAAAUAAUAAAUAAAUAAAUAAAUCCUUGAGUCGUUACGAAUAACAAAUCAGUAGCAGUAUGACCAGACUACAAACAUGCCUCAACAUUUAGAUUAAAACAAUCUAGACUAUGUGGUUUCCACACAAUUCUUGUACAAGAAGAAUGUUAUCGUUUUUUCACACCAGUUCAACUAUAUUUUUUUUUCCAAAAUAAAAUGGAGCUAAAGAGGACCAAUAAGAACAGAUCCACUGUACUAAAUUUAUAUUAACUAAGGUGGGGAACGUAAGAAUGUGCCUUACCUGUUGAGAAAAAGUACAAUCACGAAAAGUUAGGAGAGACUUUCUGGAUCAGUAUUACCGAGGGAAUAUCCAGAAUAGACUGAUGAUGAGCAAACGUGCCCGAUUUUUAAGUUUUUUUCAAAAGGAAUGACAAUGCAAAACCUAGAUUUUAUCAUUUUAGGAGGAAACUUAAGUUUCGAAAUAUUAUAGAAAUAAGAGGCUAAGGGCACUGCAUUCAUGCUUGUUUACGAGACAAAGGAAAAGAUAGAACAUCUGUUACAAGGGCAAGAAAUACAAGUAUGAACACAACUCAUAAUUCAUAUAAUGUAAUGUACUCGCUGUGGUACAAGGGUAUUAAAAUAUGCAUUUACAAACAAGUAGUCAAAGUUUUUUUCUUUUUCUUUUUUCCAUAUUCCAAUCUUUCCACAAGCCAAGCAAUGUUCAAAAAUGAAGGUACCAUUGUAAUUAUGGCCCGAAGAUAUCGUUUAGCUAAUAGACGAAUCCUCUAUCGUCCAGCAACUGUGGUAUUAGACAAGCCAUUUACUGAUAGAAUUUGCAACUCCCUUCUACUUAUACUUAUAUCAGACACAAUAACAUUUCUUAUUGUGAUGAAUGUUUCAGUACAACAUAGAUACGACGUCAGACAUGGAGGGCCGAUCAGCUGCAUUUUCUUCCACGCAUAACAGAACAACUUGGAAGCAUCUUAACAAUUGAUCUUCAGUACAUGAAUCCUUUAGUGUUGGAUCCAUUAGCUCUAGCCCCCUGCCUUCUUUCCAUAACUCCCAUGCCUGAAAAAAUAUAGCACUCAUUUAAUUAAGUUGUUCACAACUCAGAAAGGAAAAUGUAAUCGUAAAUUUGAUUUGUAAGACAUACAUAUCCUACUAUAUUGAGCACGUGAUCAGCAAUGUAGAAGCUACUAUUUCUCCUACCACUAAUGAUUUCAAGCACUAACACCCCGAAACUAUAGACGUCAGAUUUUAUCGAAAAAAUCCCCUCCAUAACGUACUCGGGAGACAUGUAACCACUGUAUCAUAUAAAAACCAAAUAUAUUUAGUAUAUGUUUGUAAGUACAGGUUUAGCAAUGUCAAAGUGGUGAAAGGCAUAAUAAUUUAUAAUGUAUGAUCUACUUACUAUGUUCCAACAAUCCUAUUGGUACUUGCUUCAAGUUCAUUAUGUGUAAAAAUUCUCGCCAAACCAAAAUCAGAAAUUUUGGGCUUCAUAUAUUCAUCAAGUAGUAUGUUACUAGCUUUUAAAUCUCUGUGAAUUACUCUCAUUCUUGAGUAUUUAUGCAAGUAAAGCAGUCCUUGAGCGAUUCCUUCAAUUAUGUUGAACCGCUUCGUCCAAUCUAGUAGCGUCGCUCUGGUUGAAUCUGUCCAAAUAUAUCCAUGAAAAUAGCUGGAAAUGUCAGAUUAUUCGAAUAGAAGAAAUCAAGUAACUAAGAUUAAAGUGAUCGAGAAUCUUAAUUGCCGACCGAAUAAAAAGUGGUCCAAACUUUUGUUUGGCAUGUAGGCAUAGAUUAACAUCCUCUCUUCCCCAUGAAUGCAGAAGCCAAAAAGCUGAACGAGGUUUGUAUGUUGGAGUUCAGAUAUGAGUAUCAAUUCAUUCUUAAACUCCGAAGUUCCUUGCCCUGAACAUCUUGAAAGCCUCUUCACAGCAAUUUCUCGCCCCGUCACAAGUUUGCCCUUCAUUAAUAAUCCAUAAUAUAGCACCAACUAAUCAGGUUUAUAUUUUUCAGUUAUUAAUACAACGACACUCAUUUUUAUUUAAAACCUUAAUUACCUUAUAAACAGGUCCAAAGCCCCCCUGUCCGAGCUUGUUUUCUUCCGAGAAGUUAGUUGUGGCAGCCACGACAGAUGCGUAGCUAAAUAUUGUCAAAUUAUUUCCCAUCUUUCCAUCAUUUUGAAGCCCCUUGACGUCGCCAGUGGAUCUAUCAGAUUCCAUCCAUUCAAGCAUUUCAUUCUCAGACAUCGGGUUGGUCUCCCCUGUUUAGAUUAAUGUUGUAAGAAAAUUAAAAUUUACAAUUUCCAAAGCCUUCAUAGAUGUUUAAAGAGUCUACCUGAAAAUAGUUUCCUCCUUAGUAGAUAGCUCGAGAUGCAAAGCACCAUUACCAAUAGAGCAGCGCCAAUAGCCGUGCCGAUCCAUAUCCACUUAUGUGCUGCACAUAGUAACACAAAUGUGAAGAGAUAAUUCUUCAAUAUUCAUUGUAGACAUGUAUAUAUAUACUUAUGUAAAUGUGCCUGAAAUUUAUUCUCGUUACACUUUGCCUUUCACGGGUGAAGAGCACAUCUGCAAGUGAGCCGUUGCUCAUGUACUCAUACACCAAAAGCUUUUUAGCUCCGUCAAGGCAAUACCCAAGUAAGCGGACUAGAUUCUUGUGAUGGGUUUUCCCAAUAACUCUGAUCUCAGUCUGAAAUUCUGUUUCCCCUUCAGCUGCAACUUUCUCUAGUAACUUUUGACAGCAACUGGCUUUUGGCUACCAAAAUCAGCCCUUUAUAAACUAUUGAUGAGGCUCCUCUACCAAGCUCUUCCUUGAAAUUAUUAGUCAUCUUUUCUUGCUCUUCAUAAGCGUAUCGUCGUGGAGCCACACUCUCAUUCAGUUCACAGUCACCAUUCACAUCGCUCAUUCUUAUAUAUGCCCACAACACAAUCCCGGAAAUCAACAACAAAAUGGAUCAAAGCAGUAAAUGAAAGACCAAUAAUGAGGAUGUCAGUUCUACCUUUUUUCUUGCUUCCUGGUUGAACAAUUCUAGGAUCCGUGUCUGGUUUUGUAGGUACACCUACCUUGAUGAAAGCUCUCUCUGAAGUUCCUUUGUCUCUUCUACCAAAUCUCAAAGGAAGCCUCCUCUUUCUGCAGUUUGUACCGUCAAAAAACACAGCUUCACAGUCGCAAUCCGCCAGACAGCCUUGUAUGCAAUCGUCUUUGUCGGAUAAUCUCAAACUCAUAUACGAAAUAUCUUCCCAUGUUGUGCUUUCCAGCUCUUCCAUGGUGUCAGUGAAAUUCUCAUUCCUGUUUUUGCACGCAUCCGCAACAAAGUUUCUCUCGCACCCGGAUGUCUGAUUUCCCUGGUUGACAGAUUCGAAUCUUGGAAGACAUCUACAGUCAGGCUCUAGAUCAAUUAAGACACAAUAGCUAUUCAAUCCGCAUAGGCCUUUAGGAACACACUUAUCCUUGGAAGACUCCCACUCAACUGACCAAAUUGCAUUCUUUUUCGAAUCAUGUAAAGUUUUCCUUCAUCAGUAGGAAGACCUCCAUCUGUUAUAUUCCGAAUAUUCGUACCAUUCCUGUUGAGCAAGUAGAGAUGGCCAUCAGCACCAAAAUUAAGUGUCACAUUCUCUCCCUGGCCAACAGUGAGAGAUGAAUAAAAAGCAUAAAUACUGGUGUCCGCCGCUGCUACAGGGUACUGAACAAGGUUUCCAUCAUUUUGCAUUUUGAGACGGAAAAUCCCCGUUGAGUGAUCAGCUUCUGAAUUCGCAGAGAAAAGUUCGUUUCCUGAUAAAAGGCGUUGACCAGGCAAAAGGGUGUCGGUUGGAUGAUGAAAGCUCUGCCAUACUAUUUCCC
rnacentral:lncRNA from 1 species